CCUACGGGAGGCAGCAGUAAGGAAUAUUGGUCAAUGGAGGCAACUCUGAACCAGCCAUGCCGCGUGCAGGAAGACUGCCCUAUGGGUUGUAAACUGCUUUUAUCCGGGAAUAAACCUGCUUACGUGUAAGUAGCUGAAUGUACCGGAAGAAUAAGGAUCGGCUAACUCCGUGCCAGCAGCCGCGGUAAUACGGAGGAUCCAAGCGUUAUCCGGAUUUAUUGGGUUUAAAGGGUGCGUAGGCGGCCUGUUAAGUCAGGGGUGAAAGACGGUAGCUCAACUAUCGCAGUGCCCUUGAUACUGAUGGGCUUGAAUGGACUAGAGGUAGGCGGAAUGAGACAAGUAGCGGUGAAAUGCAUAGAUAUGUCUCAGAACACCGAUUGCGAAGGCAGCUUACUAUGGUCUUAUUGACGCUGAGGCACGAAAGCGUGGGGAUCAAACAGGAUUAGAUACCCUGGUAGUCCACGCCCUAAACGAUGAA
rnacentral:rRNA from 1 species